rfam:Candidatus Burkholderia crenata strain TZHbot9 BCREchr_ctg582, whole genome shotgun sequence.
AAAGUAGGCCAGGCAGUCGCGGCUUUUCCGGUUUCGGCCGGAGAGGGCGAGGAAAGUCCGGACUCCACCAGGCAGGGUGAUGGCUAACGGCCAUCCGUGGCGACACGCGGAACAGGGCAACAGAAAGCAAACCGCCGAUGGCCCCGGGCGCAAGUCCGGGGAUCAGGUAAGGGUGAAACGGUACGGUAAGAGCGCACCGCGGCUGCUGCAAGGCAGACCGGCAAGGUAACCUCCACCCGGAGCAAUUCCAAGUAGGCAGGCGGGCAUCUUCGCGAUGCAGGACGGUGCCUCCGUCUCGUCUGCGGGUAGGAAGCUUGAGCGCGCCAGUAAUGGCGCGACUAGAGGAAUGGCUGCCACGCGCGUUAUGCUUUCGGGCGUGAGGCGUGCACAGAAUUCGGCUUAUCGGCCUGCUUUGUGA